AUCCAGUUGACUAGUCCCAAAUAGGACGAAACGCACCUUGUCUUGGAU
rnacentral:hammerhead_ribozyme from 1 species